rfam:Felis catus isolate Cinnamon breed Abyssinian chromosome F1, whole genome shotgun sequence.
GCCCGGGUGGCUCAGUCGGUUGAGCGUCCGACUUUGGCUCAGGUCAUGAUCUCACGGUUCGUGGGUUCGAGCCCCGCGUCGGGUG